rnacentral:rRNA from 1 species
UUCCAGACUCCUACGGGAGGCAGCAGUGGGGAAUAUUGCACAAUGGGGGAAACCCUGAUGCAGCAACGCCGCGUGGGUGAAGGAGCGUUUCGGCGCGUAAAGCUCAAUCAGCAGGGAAGAAAAUGACGGUACCUGAUUAAGAAGCCCCGGCUAACUACGUGCCAGCAGCCGCGGUAAUACGUAGGGGGCAAGCGUUAUCCGGAUUUACUGGGUGUAAAGGGAGCGUAGACGGCAGCGCAAGUCUGAAGUGAAAUGCCGGGGCUUAACCCCGGAACUGCUUUGGAAACUGUGCAGCUAGAGUGCAGGAGAGGUAAGUGGAAUUCCUAGUGUAGCGGUGAAAUGCGUAGAUAUUAGGAGGAACACCAGUGGCGAAGGCGGCUUACUGGACUGUAACUGACGUUGAGGCUCGAAAGCGUGGGGAGCAAACAG